rnacentral:rRNA from 1 species
CAGCAGCCGCGGUAAUACGGAGGGUCCGAGCGUUAUCCGGAAUUAUUGAGUUUAAAGGGUCCGUAGGCGGGCGAUUAAGUCAGUGGUGAAAGUCUGCAGCUCAACUGUAGAACUGCCUUUGAUACUGAUCGUCUUGAGUUAUAGUGAAGUUGCCGGAAUAUGUAGUGUAGCGGUGAAAUGCAUAGAUAUUACAUAGAACACCGAUUGCGAAGGCAGGUGACUAACUAUAUACUGACGCUGAUGGACGAAAGCGUGGGGAGCGAACAGGAUUAGAUACCCUGGUAGUCCACGCCGUAAACGAUGGAUACUAGCUGUCCGGGACCUUGAGUCCUGGGCGGCCAAGCGAAAGUGAUAAGUAUCCCACCUGGGGAGUACGUUCGCAAGAAUGAAACUCAAAGGAAUUGACGGGGGCCCGCACAAGCGGUGGAGCAUGUGGUUUAAUUCGAUGAUACGCGAGGAACCUUACCAGGGCUUAAAUGCAGAUUGACAGGGCUAGAGAUAGCUUUUCCUUCGGGCAAUUUGCAAGGUGCUGCAUGGUUGUCGUCAGCUCGUGCCGUGAGGUGUCAGGUUAAGUCCUAUAACGAGCGCAACCCCUGCCGUUAGUUGCCAGCAUGUAAAGAUGGGGACUCUAACGGGACUGCCGGUGCAAACCGUGAGGAAGGUGGGGAUGACGUCAAAUCAUCACGGCCCUUACGUCCUGGGCCACACACGUGCUACAAUGGCCGGUACAGAGAGCAGCCAUGUCGCAAGGCAGAGCGAAUCUAUAAAACCGGUCACAGUUCGGAUCGGGGUCUGCAACUCGACCCCGUGAAGCUGGAAUCGCUAGUAAUCGGAUAUCAGCCAUGAUCCGGUGAAUACGUUCCCGGGCCUUGUACACACCGCCCGUCAAGCCAUGGAAGCCGGGAGUGCCUGAAGUCCGUCACCGUAAGGAGCGGCAUAGGGCAAGAUCGGUAACUAGGGCUAAGUCGUAACAAGGUAACCGUA